AGUGUCGUGGGGGACAGCCUGGGGAUCCCUGGACGGCUGCGACGAGUGAGCGGUUGGCUCGGGCUGCUUUCCUCCCUCCACCGCCUGCUUGUUUCGCCAUGCGCCGGCCGGACGGUGGGGCUGCAGCGGCGAAAGCGACUGAAGUCCGGGAGCAGUCGCAUGAGCUUCCCGGUCACCAGGAGGCCCCAGGAACAGACGCCUCACCCUGACAUUGUAGCAGGAACUUCUGGAUUGCUUUCCAAAGUGGCUGCACUGUUUUCUAUCCCCACUGGGCAGGAAAACAUCUAAGAAUGGAGGCUCCCCCUUCCCUUGCAGGGUGACCAGCAAUUAAAAAGAAGUACUAGAGAGGCAAAUAUUGGCAGUAUACAUCUAAGCACUGGUCAGAAAAGAAGGAACUCAGCCCAAGAACUUGCCCAAUCUGAUACUGGAGGUGCCACCCAAGAACCACUCCCUCCAAGAUGUUUUCCUGGAUUUCCUCAGCCUAAAGUAAUCCCUCUUUUUCCUGGCUAUACCAUCUGGAAAAGAUGACUUCCAAGGACACUGUAGCAAAGAAAAAGAGAACUGGAAGCCCAUGUGCCUUAAUCGCCUCAUCUUAGAGGGCUCGGCAGUCUGGAAAUAGAAACAAUGGUGGUGGAUCGAUUCAAUUGAUCCAGAUUUGGAAGUUGCAUGGCAGGAGAUCUGGUUGUUUACAAGUACAUAGCAUGCCUCCCCCC